rnacentral:rRNA from 1 species
GACGAACGCUGGCGGCGUGCUUAACACAUGCAAGUCGAACGGAAAGGCCCUGCUUUUGUGGGGUGCUCGAGAGGCGAACGGGUGAGUAACACGUGAGUAACCUGCCCUUGACUUUGGGAUAACUUCAGGAAACUGGGGCUAAUACCGGAUAGGAGCUCCUGCUGCAUGGUGGGGGUUGGAAAGUUUCGGCGGUUGGGGAUGGACUCGCGGCUUAUCAGCUUGUUGGUGGGGUAGUGGCUUACCAAGGCUUUGACGGGUAGCCGGCCUGAGAGGGUGACCGGCCACAUUGGGACUGAGAUACGGCCCAGACUCCUACGGGAGGCAGCAGUGGGGAAUAUUGCACAAUGGGCGGAAGCCUGAUGCAGCAACGCCGCGUGCGGGAUGAAGGCCUUCGGGUUGUAAACCGCUUUCGCCUGUGACGAAGCGUGAGUGACGGUAAUGGGUAAAGAAGCACCGGCUAACUACGUG